rnacentral:tRNA from 1 species
UGCCGAUUCGUCUAAUGGUAGGACGUCACCCUCUGGAGGUGAAUAUUGGGGUUCGAGUCCCUGAUCGGCAG